CGAUCCGCGAGAUUGACUGGAGUCCCACCUGUAAGUGAGGGUACAGCUGCUCGUCCACCUGCCUUGCCAAGGGCAAGAUCUCACAGGUCAAGCAGGGAAGGAACGUCACGAGACCCGAGAAGGUCUUCUGACGAGAGCAGGAGAGGAGUAAGCAGAGGGGGAAGGUCAGUAGAAGAAAGAGGUGGGAUGGAAGAGGAUCAGAGUAGAGAUGUAAGCAUGGGUGUAGGAAGGUCAGAAGAAGGUAUGGGGGAGUCCCAGGGAGGCGUUCAGGCCUCGGGGUUUGGC
rnacentral:lncRNA from 1 species